rnacentral:tRNA from 1 species
GGGGCUGUAGCUCAACUGGAAGAGCGCAUCGCCGGCAGCGAUGAGGUCGUCGGUUCAACUCCGGUCAGCUCCA